GUGAAUCAUCGAAUCUUUGGACGCAAAUUGCACUCUCCGGUUUUCCGGGGGAGUAUGCCUGUUUGGGGUUGAGCCUAAAAAAAAUCGACAUUGGUGCUGUUUUAUGGUGUCUUUGGUCGGGGAUGGGGUAGCUUAAAUCUCGGUUUAAGCUGCUUAAAAAUUUUAUUUACGAUUCUAAGAAUGUUUCUAAGAUUUUUCUUGUACGUUUAAGGUAUCGAAUGUCGUAUUAGACGUGGCCGUCAUAUCGGAUCGUGUCCAUAGUUU
rnacentral:misc_RNA from 1 species